GAUUACACAUAGGCUUCUCUUCUGCCAGGGAAUUUACCGCCAAUGGUAUCUCGUCCCACCUGAACGCUUACUCUCUGUCUGUCCGCAUAUGUCCGUCCAAAGAUCGUAAUGUUACAGACCAUUUCAUACGCCAAAAAAAGGACAGCAUCUGCGGCCCAAUUGGCCGGAACAAAAAUCCCUAAUAAACUUUCCUACCUGCCCAGAUCGAGCUCUUUCUAUAGGGGAAGGGCAAGGACCGUGAAAGAGUUGGAAUUUCACUUCUUUCGUUUACUUUCCUGCCCUAGCAAUAACUCACAAUGAUGUCGAAUAACUUGCAAUUCCACAGAUUGAAAUACGGUGUUGCUAUUUAGAAACCGGCAAGCAUCAACAAUUAAGAAAAAAAAAAUUUGACCAAAGGCUAAGAUUAUUUUUUUACACGUUUUGUUGUUGUUGUCACUUGAUAAAUGGCACUGCACUUUCAUUGAUAGUCACUUCGUUCUCACCUCCGGCUGCUUCGACGUCUCAAAUUUUUCCUCCUGUUCCAGUGGCUUACGUUAUCAUUUUUCCCAUCAUGGCGCUCUUCCCAGCCAGAAUUUCCUCUGGUGAGCCAAAUGACAACACACAACCAACUGUCCUACUGUCAUUCAGACAGGGGUCGUGGUUCAUGACUAAGCAGCUGACUACGUUCGGCAAUUGUCGGCUAGAUGGGGCUUUUAGCGACGUCAAGGCGCACGCGACAAACCCAACCAUCCAACAUCACUGUUAAAGAAUGGUUGGGAAAAAAGUGCAAUUCCUAAGAUAUUCCUGGCUUUAUAUUCGAAUAAAUCCGAGCAGCGAUCCCUAAAACCUACCUUGGUCUGCAAUCCCUAAAUAUUUGGAUCGCUACCUUGCUUAGUUAUACCAUGGAAAACCUCAUUUUUGUGCGACAUAUCGUUCAGCCAUCUUAUUUCAACAACUUGCUCCCAUGGCAAUUCGUCUAAUACAUUUCUAUUCUGGUUGUUUGACAUUGACCUUUUUAUGGAAUUUACUAGGUAAAUCUACCCUGGUUUAAUUCCUAUUUACAUCUCCCUGCCAAACACACGUAUCUAAUAGUGUAUACAACCCCUAAGAACGAUGAAUUGCUAGGAACUAUAAAUGACAGCCGUAUACGUUUCUUUAUUGAAAUAGGGUCGGUAUCCUGUAUGAGUGGCCACACCACUGUAACGCUGUUAAAAUAGAUGAAUGGCCACUGUCAUUCAUAAUUAAAAUAAUGUUGUGUGCGCGAUGUCAAAACUUGAAUAGGGCCACUAACCGUGGUAUUGUGAAUGACACAAGGUGUAUUCGAUUGGCAACACGGCAUAAACAGCUGCCGUAUAGGUGCCGUUGUUCAUGACUGAUGUCUUGGGGACAAAUAUAAACAAUGAGAAGAAAAGUGAAAGGGAAAAGGGCCAUGACAGGAAAUUUUUGGAAGAUGGACGAUUUCCUGGGCCAUUUCCUUUCUCUUGGAUUUGAACAUUCAAGCUGGUUGAACGUGGGAAUCGAGUGAAAUCUAGUGUUUUUUGUUGUUGUAAAACUAAAGCCAGGCAUAUGCCUUGUAGUACGACCAAACCAACACUUUUAAAGAAGAAGAAAGAGAUGCUAAUGCUUGUGUUUUUUUUACUGAUGGUUAAUUGUGUGCCAAACAAACAUUGAAACUUGAAUUUUUAACAGAAAUAUGAAAAAGUGAAACCUGAAAAAAAAGACUUUAAUCUUAACAGCUAAAUGAACUUACUUGAUAAAUAACCUGCAAACUAAAAUAAACUACCCAAACAAUUACAAGCUAAAUAAACCAUAAACACUUACAAGCUAAAUAAACCAUAAACUUACAAGCUAGACAAAACCUCAAAAUGAUCGUAUCUUUUCGGCCACGUGCAGCCACCAUCACCGCUUCAAUCAACGUUGGAGACGCAGCAAACUGGCAUGCUCAGACCGACAUGCCCCAUGUAAAGCCCUAUGCCGACAGUUGAAUUACAAUUAACUUCGGACAAACGGAUUCCAGACUUGACUUCCUUAUUUUCCUUUUGUUUCAGCCUAUAUUUGUAAAGAAAGAGAAAUGCAAAUGUUUAUUAAGAGUGGUUAGGCAAGACAAUCGUGUAUUUAGUUGCUAUGAAAUUUACAUUUUUUAACUAUUGUAUAAAAGGUGGCCAAGGCGUCUCAGGUUGAGCUCAGCUUAGGUAGCUUUGACGUAGGUUUAAAGUGGGGGUGGUGUCCCAAUAGUGAGGCCGAUUGUGCUGUCUCUAAUGCAAGAGAAGCUAAGAAAAAAUACAUGCAUAUGCAUAUUUUUACAUAUAAAGCCACCGAGAGAAAAAUACUACAUAAAAAGAACAUAAAAACAAUAUUAAUGCAAAUAUAGGUACCAAACACAAAGAAAAAAUAAACAUACUUACCAAUAAACAGAUAGACACAUACGGACGGACAGAUCAACUGAGGGUCCAUCUACCGGUACCAAGCUGGUGCCAUCAUCAUCUGCCGAUCUGGGAGUCCAUCUCGCAUUAUUCCUGGUCCUGUUCCUACACUAGAAGAAGAAGAGAAACGCCGUUUCAUAUUAUUGUUUUUUUUUAGUUUAUUCUGAUUUUUUUUGACGUUUUUCCGAAUGUUUGCAUUUAAUUUCCCAUUGGAUUUUCAAACUAAAUUUCUAUUCAAAUCCUGUUUUGUAUUUUAGUCGUUCGCUAGAAUAAAACUAUGAAAGAUUUUAUAACGUUGAACAGAA